rnacentral:rRNA from 1 species
GACGAACGCUGGCGGCGUGCUUAACACAUGCAAGUCGAACGGUAAGGCUCCAGCUUGCUGGGGUACACGAGCGGCGAACGGGUGAGUAACACGUGGGUGACCUGCCCUGCACUUCGGGAUAAGCCUGGGAAACUGGGUCUAAUACCGGAUAGGACCAUGGUGUGGAUACUGUGGUGGAAAGUUUUUUCGGUGUGGGAUGGGCCCGCGGCCUAUCAGCUUGUUGGUGGGGUAAUGGCCUACCAAGGCGGCGACGGGUAGCCGGCCUGAGAGGGUGGACGGCCACAUUGGGACUGAGACACGGCCCAGACUCCUACGGGAGGCAGCAGUGGGGAAUAUUGCACAAUGGGCGGAAGCCUGAUGCAGCGACGCCGCGUGGGGGAUGACGGCCUUCGGGUUGUAAACUCCUUUCACCAUCGACGAAGGGUUUCUGACGGUAGAUGGAGAAGAAGCACCGGCUAACUACGUG